rnacentral:rRNA from 1 species
UACGUAGGCAGCGAGCGUUGUUCGGAGUUACUGGGCGUAAAGCGUGCGUAGGCGGUGCUCCAAGUCUGUUGUGAAGUCUCCCGGCUUAACUGGGAGGGUGCGGCGGAAACUGGGGUGCUGGAGUGCGGGAGAGGUAAGCGGAAUUCCCGGUGUAGCGGUAAAAUGCGUAGAUAUCGGGAGGAACACCUGCGGUGUAGACGGCUUACUGGACCGUAACUGACGCUGAGGCACGAAAGCGUGGGGAGCAAACAGG